CACUCUAGUCCAAGCAACAGAGUGAGACUCUGUCUCCAAAAAACAAAAAUUAGUGGAGCCUAUUUCUAUACACUUUCAUAUGGGAGCCUCAUAUGGGUGUAAUAUCAAAUGAGACAGACAGUUUAACAGAGAGAUAAGAGGAAGAGAUAGUCAAAAAGAUACCCCACUAAAAACACGAUCUUCCCAGGGUGAAUAUGCACAUUCUAAUGUGCAUUUGUAAUUAUAUACAGCACCUAUAUUUAUUUCUUUAUAAAUAUAUACAAAUCUAUCUGAGGAGUGUCAUUAGAGGCUCCACAUUACAGGGGACACAGACUUCACUAAAACAGAGUGUGAGGUUACAAAACAAAUAAAUAAGCAACAACAAAAACAAGCUCAGAAAACCAGGAGAAGCAUCAAUAUUCAGAGUUACUUUUCCCCUAAGAACAGAAAUAAGACAAGGAGGUCUGCUCUUGUCACUUCCAUUCAAUCUGUACAGGAGGUUCUAUCCAGGGCAUUUAAGCAAGAAAAAGAAAUAAAAGGCAUCUAAAUUGGAAAGGGAGAAGUAAAACUGUCCUCUUCACAGAUAACAUGAUCUUGUUUAGAGAAAAUCCCAAAAAAUCCACCAAAAGAACUAUUAGAACUAAUUGAAUUCAGCAAGAUUACAGGAUAAAAGACCAGUAUACAGGACGGAUUUGAAAACCCCGGAGCGAGGUUCUGCCUACCCGGGGCCGCUGCUGUGCGGAGACCCCCGGCGAAGCCACCGUCGCCAUGUCUGACCAGGAGGCAAAACCUUCAACCGAGGACUUGGGGGAUAAGAAGGAAGGAGAAUACAUUAAACUUAAAGUCAUUGGACAGGAUAGCAGUGAGAUUCACUUCAAAGUGAAAAUGACAACACAUCUCAAGAAACUCAAAGAAUCAUACUGUCAAAGACAGGGAGUUCCAAUGAAUUCACUCAGGUUUCUCUUUGAAGGUCAGAGAAUUGCUGAUAAUCAUACUCCAAAAGAACUGGGAAUGGAGGAAGAAGAUGUGAUUGAAGUUUAUCAGGAACAAACGGGGGUUCAUUCAACAGUUUAGAUAUUCUUUUAAUUUUUUUCUUUUCCCUCAAUCCUUUUUUAUUUUUAAAAAUAGUUCUUUUGUAAUGUGGUGUUCAAAAUGGAAUUGAAAACUGGCACCCCAUCUCUUUAAAACAUCUGGUAAUUUGAAUUCUAGUGCUCAUUAUUCAUUAUCGUUUGUUUUGAUUGUGCUGAUUUUUGGUGAUCAAGCCUCAGUCCCCUUCAUAUUGCCCACUCCUUUUUUAAAAAUUACAUGUGUGCACAGAGAGGCCACUGUUUUCAAGACUGUGCAUUUUCAGGCUUGUGAUAAAUAAGAUCGACCAAUGCAGGUGUUCAUAAUGACUUUACAAUUGGCCCUGAAGUUCUAGCAUGUGAUUGCUUCACUCCUGGACUGUGACUUUCAGUGGGAGAUGGAAGUUUUUCAGAGAACUGAACUGUGGAAAAAUGACCUUUCCUUAACAUGAAGCUACUUUUCAAAUUUGAGGGUCUGGACCAAAAGAAGAGGAAUAUCCAGUUGGAGUCAAGCUGACAGAAAAGGUGAGAGUAAUGAAUAACUCCAAAGAUGGCUUCACUGAAGAGAAGGCAUUUUAAAGAUUUUUAAAAAAUCUUGGGAGAAGAUCCCAGAAAAAGUUCUAAUUUUCAUUAGCAAUUAAUAAAGUUAUUCAUGCAGAAGUGUAUACAAUAGAACACUGCUCUUUUUGAUUUUAUUUGUACUUUUUGGCCUGGGAAUAUGGGUUUUGAAUGGACACUGUCUGUACCAGCUUCAUUAAAAUAAACAAUAUUUGUAAAAAUAAAAAAAAAAUAAAAAAAAAA